UAGGGAAUAUUGGACAAUGGGUGAGAGCCUGAUCCAGCCAUGCCGCGUGCAGGAAGAAAGCCUUCUGGGUUGUAAACUGCUUUUGCCAGGGGAUAAAAACACUAUGCGUAGUGGAUUGAAGGUACCUGGUGAAUAAGCCACGGCUAACUACGUGCCAGCAGCCGCGGUAAUACGUAGGUGGCAAGCGUUGUCCGGAUUUAUUGGGUUUAAAGGGUGCGUAGGCGGUCCAGUAAGUCAGUGGUGAAAUACGGCAGCUCAACUGUCGAGGUGCCAUCGAUACUGUUGGACUUGAGUACUGAUGAGGUAGGCGGAAUGGACGGUGUAGCGGUGAAAUGCUUAGAGAUCGUCCAGAACACCGAUAGCGAAGGCAGCUUACUAAGGAGUAACUGACGCUGAGGCACGAAAGUGUGGGGAUCAAACAGGAUUAGAUACCCUGGUAGUCCACACUGUAAACGAUGAUUACUCGAUGUGUGCGAUACACGGCACGCGUCUUAGCAAGAGCGAUAAGUAAUCCACCUGGGGAGUACGCCGGCAACGGUG
rnacentral:rRNA from 1 species